AGAGUUUGAUCAUGGCUCAGAUUGAACGCUGGCGGAAUGCUUUACACAUGCAAGUCGAACGAUGAACCCUAGCUUGCUAGGGGGAUUAGUGGCGAACGGGUGAGUAAUAUAUCGGAACGUGCCUUGUAAUGGGGGAUAACUAGUCGAAAGAUUAGCUAAUACCGCAUACGCCCUGAGGGGGAAAGUAGGGGGUCUUCGGACCUUACGUUAUAAGAGCGGCCGAUAUCUGAUUAGCUAGUUGGUGGGGUAAUGGCCUACCAAGGCAUCGAUCAGUAGCUGGUCUGAGAGGACGACCAGCCACACUGGAACUGAGACACGGUCCAGACUCCCACGGGAGGCAGCAGUGGGGAAUUUUGGACAAUGGGCGAAAGCCUGAUCCAGCCAUUCCGCGUGAGUGAAGAAGGCCUUCGGGUUGUAAAGCUCUUUCGCAAGGGAAGAAAACUUACACAAUAACACUGUGUGAGGAUGACGGUACCUUGAUAAGAAGCACCGGCUAACUACGUGCCAGCAGCCGCGGUAAUACGUAGGGUGCGAGCGUUAAUCGGAAUUACUGGGCGUAAAGCGUGCGCAGGCGGUUUGGCAAGUCAGAUGUGAAAUCCCCGAGCUCAACUUGGGAACUGCGUUUGAAACUGCCGGACUAGAAUAUGUCAGAGGGGGGCAGAAUUCCACGUGUAGCAGUGAAAUGCGUAGAGAUGUGGAGGAAUACCAAUGGCGAAGGCAGCCCCCUGGGAUAAUAUUGACGCUCAUGCACGAAAGCGUGGGGAGCAAACAGGAUUAGAUACCCUGGUAGUCCACGCCCUAAACGAUGUCUACUAGUUGUUGGUGGAGUAAAAUCCAUGAGUAACGCAGCUAACGCGUGAAGUAGACCGCCUGGGGAGUACGGUCGCAAGAUUAAAACUCAAAUGAAUUGACGG
rnacentral:rRNA from 1 species